GCAGGCGGCGGCUGUUGGCUCCCGGCGCUGGCGCUGCUGCGUCCUGGGCAAUAUGGCGGCUCCGACAGCGGCGCAGACUCCGACACAGCGCGGCGGCGGCCGUGGCCCCGCCACCCGAACAGCGUGACCCCCGCCCCCCUCCUCCCUCCCCAAGCGUGGCCUCCCCCGCGGGCCCUGGGGCCGGACACAGGCAUGGCUGAACCGGGCAGCCGCCCAAGACCUGGACAGAAAGGGGGCCCGAAAAUGUAUGAAAAAACUGCUGUUUACAGAUACAAGUAAAUUCGGGUUUAUGCUGCAUGUACUACAUGGAAAAAUUACCAGAAUUCAGUGCCCUAAGAAUUUACACAAAUACCUUCCACCAACAUUCUGUUAACUAAGCAAGAAUCUACAUUCAGCCUCAGGCUCGUAGUCUCCGAAUCAAUUAAUCCUCCCAGAGUAAAGAAGAGGGUUGCCUUUCUCUCCCACAGGUGCGGGGAGUUCCCAUCGGUGAGACACAGCCUGAUGAUGUCAUUGCUCUGGCACCCCGCAUCUUGAAUUUUGACCUGGUGUUGCAGAAAUAGUGAAAGAAGAGGGGGAGAAGCGUGAUCUUCUCAUGUACUUCACAUAUGAGAAGAACAUCCUGAGCUGUUUUGAUAAUGGCAUCCAGAGCUUCUAUUUCUCCAGGGAGUCAAGAGGUAUUUGGGGUGGUAGAACAAAGAGAAGAGCUCUGCCUUACUCCUGAAUCAGUUCUGACUGGCUACUCACUCGCAGAAAGAGGCAGGAAAGUGGGAAAAGGCAACCAAUAAGAAGAUAUUAGAAGCUCUGAGCAAGGCUGAAAAAUUGGUGAAGGCUGAAGGUUGUGACCUCACCACAGGACUGACUUCAGCAGGUGCAUAAAUCACACAAGGAUCACCAGAGUGGAUGACCCUGCUGUAGAUUCAGUUCUCACCAUCCACCUCUUUAAAAAUAUAGAUCCAGAUCCUGUACUGUUAAUGUCAACAAACUUUGCCAUUGAUCUAAAAAAGGUGUAGGAUCGACUCUGUACAUUUUAAACGUACCUCCUCCAUUUUGACAAUACAUAAAUAGCUUUCCUUCAUGCAGACACAGUGCAACAAGUCCUUACAAACUCAAUUUCUUCACUGCUGCAACCAACUGUCUGCAAAAUGAAUAUAAUAUGUUUCCCACACCCAUAAAUAUAAUUUCAGUUUUCCAUUUUUAUCUGCUUAAGCAUACUUCAUUUAAUCAAAAGAAGCAAAUAAAACCCACAAUAUGUUUACAGUUAUGUAAAAGUAAUGGAAAACUACAAACUAGGAACCCAACUUGGCACCCACGGAAUUAACUUGUAAAACUCUUGUUGACUUCUCAAGAGCAGGAUCUAGCUAAAUUGGUGAGCAGUAUCACUGCCAGUGCCCUGAAGGAGACCACCAAGACUAGGAUCACCAGGAUGCCAUCCAACAAGGACCUGGCCAUGUUCCUGAGCAGGUUCAAGCAAGACAGUGGGAACUUUGCCUUGCUGUGGAGCUGAGCCAACAAUGCGGCAUGGUGCCUUGGGAAGCACCUUAGUUGCUGCUGGACAGGGUGCAAAGAGCAGCAGCAGCUGGGGAUAUUGCUGUUCCCAGCCCCAACCUGCAAUCAGAUCAUUGUCAUAUCCCAUGUCAGGACCUACCUAGAAUGGUUCCUGAAGUAUGCUGUGUGGGAAAAAUACAUCAAUGUCCUAAAGUCAAAAUCUGACCAGGGUGAAUUCUUUGAGGUCACCUCAAAGUGAGAUGCCAGCAACCACUUCUGCCCUACAGAAGCUUCAUGUGCUACACAGACUGGCACUUUAUCCACCAAGCCCGUCUCAACUGCUUCCCACUCAAUGGUGCAUCUGCUAUGGACAGUGAGUCAAGAGGUGCUGGAGGUGUGGGUAUGAGAGUAAGACCCUGCUCCGUGUCCUGUGUGGCUGCAAGCCCAACAGGAGAGCAUGGCAACUAUGUCACAAUGUUGUACAAAACUUGCUGGUUAAGGCCAUCUUGGAGUCAGUCAGGACAGCAGCUAUGAAUCAUGAUGGCUCAGGUUGCGACAACCAGGAGUGCUGAAACAUUGGUAUAAUGGACAAAGACAAUAAAAAGUUCCUGAUGAGUGAUGUGACUAUCCUGUUUGAGAACUGAUACCCAAGGGAGAAGUGUUAUGAUGUCCCAGUGCAGGCAUCGUUGGGGCACUUGGAGCAUGACCUGAGCAAUGAGAGUGUCCCACAAGCCUGCAGAGUACCCCACCGCUACAUGAAACUGAUGUGGCACUUUAUGGCAUCUGAUACCAUCCAAUGGUCAGGGGACAUUUACAUCAAGCACAUCAUAGGCUAUCGCCAAUAUGAAGACAGCUGCCUGAGACCACUGGCCAGAAGUGAGGCAGAGGGACAGACUGAACCCUUCCCACACAUGCCAUUGACUGUGGCAGGCCUGUGCCCCACUCACCAUACCACCUGCAUCCAUUUGGCCAGUCUGCAGGGACUGGCAUCAUGCGGUCGGAAGAGGGACUGCAGAUUGGUCUGGCCUCUUAAAUCUCCCAAGAUAAAAGGAACUCACUGACUGCAUCUAGGGGCAGAGUAAAGAAGGAGGCACCAGGUAUGCCCCUGAAAGCCUUCCUCACACUCAAAACAGAUCCAGUGCAAUGGCAGCAGUGCUGGUUGCUGGGCAGCAUGGGUGUUCAGACUGCAUCAGGGAAAACCUUGUGGCAUCUGAGCACUUACUUACCUGCAUCAUUGGAGCUAGAGACCUGUCCUGGGGCAGGGAGCUCUGGUGAGCCAGAGGACAACAUGAAGGACCAGACACUUGGGGGAAAGGACCCAGGUAUCAGUGAGGGAGCAGCCACAGAGGGACUGAGGGGUACAGAUCUAACUGUGACCCCACCCACACAAAACCUUGCCAGCAGAUACACCCAGGGCAGCUGGGAUGGGACCUGGGCAGCCAAAGGGGCAUCAGUGGGACUGUAAUAUAUCAGGGUCCCAGGGAUAGCUAUAAUGGCCCCUGGUGGCUCUGAGACCAUAACCUGCUUCGCUCCUAGGGUGCCUUCCUGUCUCUCCUGCCAUCCCUUGGUGUUAUUUAUAAUAUAUAGGGAGGCUGCCCACAGGCUUUCAUGAGGCCUCAGUCCCACUGGGCCCCUCCAGACACUGCCUGUGCCCAGGCCCCUUGUUGGGCUUCACUGGUAACUGUGCCACUGAAGGCACCUGAAGCCUUAAGGGCUAAUUUUGUGGUUCCAAGUCCUUCCCUUUACCACACCCAAUGCCUUGUAGUUAUUAUAGAAAUGUUGUUCCUUCUGCUGGGGCUCUGGCCUCCUUGGUUUCUGCCCCUUUAAUCUAGCUACACCUUCUAGCAUGGGCCCACUGUGUUGGACCUGGCUUUGAGACACUCGCUUCAGUCUGUCCCUUCCAGUCACCGGGUCCCUGGCCCCUAUCUGCUGGGUCCCUGGCCCCAGUGUGGCUGCACCCUCUCUGGCACCAGGCCCUGGCCUAUGUGUGGCUGCACCCUCUCUCUCUGCCCGCCCUGGGCUCGAUAACUGCUUGAGCCUUGAGCCUGCCCCUAGCAGGGCUCAAGGUAGUCAAGUGCUCCCUGGGCACUAAUGAGGGCUCCGUACCUCCCCCUCCAGCCUCGUUCUAACCUUCUGGUUUGAAAAACAACAUAACAUAAGCCCCUGGGCUAUAACAUCAUAACAAAGUAGCAGCCCUCUGUCCCUUUAAGAAGGCAAACCUUUACCCCUAGCACAGAGUGCCUCGCAGCCAGGGUACCUUGCAAGUUCCCUGAGCCUCCCUGUUCCUGUAGGCAGCAGUCAGCCCAGUAUCCCUGGGUGGCUCUCCUGGGCGGAAGCUCCUUCCUUCCCCUGUAGUAGCCAGGGAGAGAUUUCCCCAAGGCAGCCUCAGCCAUGGGCUUAUAAACUCCCAGGGUCCUGCCUACAUCUAGUCAGGUGGCUGUCUGAGCUGGCUGCUAAUUGCCUCGUUAGCCCUGUUGCCCUGGCAACUGGCAGCUACGAUGCCUAGCCUGCAGAGCUUCCUGGCUGACUGCUUUUACCUUAAAGUAACAGGAGCCCCAGUUUCUCUGUUACAGGGACCCAUCCAAGGGAAGAACCCACCUGGAAGCCCGUUGAUUUGUGCCACUGUGAUUGGGCAGUUGUGGGCCCAAAAUUCCCUACCAGGCAAGCUUCAGGACCCCAGCUGAUCCAGAGCAUCAGUCCCCGUGUGACCAACCCAGAAAGCGAGGGGUCAAAUAAAUCAUGCCAUACCUGGUACAGAGCACUGAGGAAAAGCACCUAGUACAGUGAGCAUCAUUGCCCUGCUCACCUGUACCACCUAUAUGAUUUCAGCUUGAGUCUAGUUAAGCUAUCAGUUUGCUGGUCAGGCACACUAUAACUACAUUUCUGCCCAGAACCAAAAGCAGGCCUUCUGUGGGAGCAGACAAUACCUGUGAUACCAUUGAAACUGAGGCCAGACCACCCGAGUGGAAAGGGGUGAGGUGUAGGGAAGGAGGAGCCUUACAGAGGAAGCACCAGCCGAGGUGCCCAGGAUCACAGAAAAACACUGGACAAAACCUUCUGGUAGAAACUCAGGUAACAUCAAGUUGUGGCAGGUGAGUUGACCCAAGUGCAACACACCCAAGCAGGCAGGGCACGCUGGUGGCAGUGCUACAAGCGUGCGCCUGCCACACUGACAGAUACUUCUAAUGCUGUCGACUAUGCCCCACCCAAGCACUAGAUACUAAGACCAUUGUCUAAGUAAGUCUUGACACCUUACAACUGAACCCAUGUGGUUACCAUACACAGGGUCUUACCUCUUUUCCUACCAUAGUAUGGCAUUGAAACCUCUUAACUUGCUGUGCCUGAGUCUAACGGAGGCUGAAUGGCUAACUGCAGGUUUCCCUCGAUUUGUGCUGUACAUGUGUUCCCAGAGAAUGGUGCAUAAAUAGAAUUCUCAUCAAGUGAACCCACUUUACAAUAUAACAAAUAGGGAUAGGUUCCCAUGGUGGGGAGGGAGGGAGGGAGGCUGGGACUAGGGAAGGGGCAGGGAUGCCACUCCCAGGGCUGCACAAGGCAGGAAAGCAGAGGGAACAGAGUAGCGCUCACCCCAGCCUCGGCUGCAGUGGCCUGGGAGCAACUGGUGCCAGCUGCUUGCAGCUGCUGGGCUGCACCAUGCUUCGCCUGUCUCCACUCACCUCUGCUCCUGGGCUGGUCCAGUGGCUGCAGGAAGCUGGUGCCGGCUGCUCCUGGGGCCGCUGCACCUAGGACUGGGGUGAGUGGGGCCACAGCCCUUUCCCCUCCCCCCACAGACUUACCUGUUGGAGGGGGCAGGGAGCAGGGCACCUAUGCUGAUUGCAUAACUGUGAAUUUACCUCACAUAUAACGAAUUAUGGAUCUAAAAAUGCUCAUUGCGUAAGAGUGAAGUCACAUAUACAGAACCCAAAUAAAUCAAGGGAAACCUGUACAUAUCUUAGACUGUUAACAUACAUCAACUACCCAUUUACCAUGUAUCUGCUGUGUGUAGGGUCCCAUAUUAUCUUACCACUCUACAAAACCAUACAAAUAACUAUGAUUUUUAACAUUUUCCAAUAAAGGUUUAAAUCUG